CCUACGGGCGGCAGCAGUGAGGAAUAUUGGUCAAUGGCCGAAACCCUGAAGCAGCAACGCCGCGUGAAGGAUGACGGUUUUAGGAUUUUAAAACCCUUUUUUCCGAGAAGAUUAUGACGGUAUCUGACGCAUAAGCACCGGCUAACUCCGUGCCAGAAGCCGCGGUAAUACGGAGGGUGCAGGCGUUACUCGGAAGCACUGGGCGUAAAGAGUGCGUAGGGGGGGUAAUUAGUCAGAUGUGAAAUGCUUUAGCUUAAAUAAAGAACUGCAGUUGAAACUGGUACUCUGGAGUGUGGGAGAGGUAGGUGGAAUGCGUGGUGUAGGGGUAAAAUCCGUAGAGAUUGAGAGGAAUACUCAUUGCGAAGGCGACCUGCUGGAACAGUACUGACGCUGAGGCACGAAAGCGUGGGUAGCAAACAGGAUUAGAUACCCUUGUAGUC
rnacentral:rRNA from 1 species